GCUUUACACUUACCUUAAGAGGCGGUGUAAGCCGGUCACGACAAGUGGUCAGCUCAAGUGUCCUGCUACGGCGAAUACAUCACGAGGUUCGGUAAAGCGCAGAGUACCGCUUCGGCGGGAAAUGCGAGACCGGC
rnacentral:ncRNA from 1 species